UACGUAGGGGGCAAGCGUUGUCCGGAAUCAUUGGGCGUAAAGCGCGUGUAGGCGGCCCGAUAAGUCCGCUGUGAAAAGUCCAGGGCUCAACCCUGGAAUGCCGGUGGAUACUAUCGGGCUCGAGUCCGGAAGAGGCGAGUGGAAUUCCCGGUGUAGCGGUGAAAUGCGCAGAUAUCGUAAGGAAGACCAGUGGCGAAGGCGGGUCUCUGGACAGUUUCCUGACGCUGAGGCACGAAGGUCAGGGGG
rnacentral:rRNA from 1 species